AGCAGCAUCCCAGUCAACUAACCCCGUAACUGCCAGGAACCCAAGUCCAGGGCUGACUGGAGGGUGUGUGGACUCGGAAGCCACAGUCUGAUCAAAGGAUGAAGGAGGAAAAUGAACUGUCCCUUUCCGUGAAGGAACAUACAAUCUAUUGGAAGAUAUAGACCCUGGGAACUCCUGACGCCCACUUCAAAAACUGUAUGUAACAAGGACCGAGGGAACAGGAACUCCACACAAGAAAGAGGUCUUUGAGUAAUGCAUCUUAUAAGAUGGCUCUCGAGGGAAAGAUCAUACCAGCUGCAGAUGGGCCUGUUCCAGAGGGCAGAAGAUGAGCUGGGAAGCUCAAAUGAUACCUGCAUGUGGAGUCGGAGGCUGAAGAGGAGAGAACCCUGACUCACUUCCCAUCACCUCGCUGUCCCCCUUUAU